GAUGAACGCUGGCGGCGUGCCUAAUACAUGCAAGUCGAGCGAACAGAUGAGGAUCUUGCUCCUCUGACGUUAGCGGCGGACGUGUGAGUAACACGUGGAUAACCUACCUAUAAGACUGGGAUAACUUCGGGAAACCGGAGCUAAUACCGGAUAAUAUAUUGAACCGCAUGGUUCAAUAGUGAAAGACGGUUUUGCUGUCACUUAUAGAUGGAUCCGCGCCGCAUUAGCUAGUUGGUAAGGUAACGGCUUACCAAGGCAACGAUGCGUAGCCGACCUGAGAGGGUGAUCGGCCACACUGGAACUGAGACACGGUCCAGACUCCUACGGGAGGCAGCAGUAGGGAAUCUUCCGAAAUGGGCGAAAGCCUGACGGAGCAACGCAGCGUGAGUGAUGAAGGUCUUCGGAUCGUAAAACUCUGUUAUUAGGGAAGAACAAAUGUGUAAGUAACUAUGCACGUCUUGACGGUACCUAAUCAGAAAGCCACGGCUAACUACGUG
rnacentral:rRNA from 1 species